rnacentral:rRNA from 1 species
UGCAGUCGAGCGCUCCUUUCGGUGAGCGGCGGACGGGUUAGUAACGCGUGGGAAUAUACCCAAAGGUACGGAAUAUCCUCGGGAAACUGAGAGUAAUACCGUAUGUGCCCUUCGGGGGAAAGAUUUAUCGCCUUUGGAUUAGCCCGCGUAAGAUUAGAUAGUUGGUGGGGUAAUGGCCUACCAAGUCUACAAUCUUUAGCUGGGUUGAGAGGAUGAUCAGCAACACUGGGACUGAGACACGGCCCACACUCCUACGGGAGGCAGCACAC